rnacentral:rRNA from 1 species
ACACAAGCCAUGCAUGCCCGCGCACCCGGGAGGCGGCGGACGGCUCAGGACAACGGUUGCACCCCCCGCGGCGGUCCCUGCUAGCCGGACACCGCUGGCAACCCGGCGCCAAGACGUGCGCGCAAGGGCGGGCGCCCGCGGGCGAGCAGCGUGACGCAGCGACGGCCCGCCCGGGCUUCCGGGGCAUCACCCGGUCGGCGCGGUCGCGGCGCGCCGAGGGCCCGA